GUCUCAAUUGACAAUUGUCAAUAGCUAGCUAGUAUAGCAUUAGAGUCCAAGAACAUUUUACUUGGCCACUUUGCAGGUAACCGACGUAAAUGCCCGCCACGUGGCUUAUGUGUAGUAAGUAUGCGAGUGCGACGCACGACCUCACAACUUCAAAGAGCAACAGCAGCAGGUACGAAUUGUGGCGCUGCCUGUCAUUAAACUAGCGCCACACACACACUCACACACACAGAUAGGCCCGCACAUAUGCACGUCUUCCCGUGCACACACUUCAGCACAUACGCAUGCCCAUGGCUUUGAAAGUUGAGCUAAAAAAGUUGGUAUAUUGGAAAAGUUUUCCUUCUUGAUUUUUAAUAUCACAGGCAGCAACACGGUGGCGAAACGGCAGCGUAACGCUAGGGCUCUGGAUUUUUUGUAUACCCGCCACAAUAAAAGGCAAACG